rnacentral:lncRNA from 1 species
AUUGCCAUAAAUGUAAGGAAAUCAAGCAUAAGAGUGGGUAAUACUUGUUUCUCCUUUGGAUUCUGGGAAAUCUGAGAGUAGAGCUAGCUUCACACCAAGGUGCAACCAUUAUUGACUGUGGAUGCAUGUGAUAUUACGACAAAUUUCAGGUUCCUCCCACUGUGACUCCCACAGAGUAAUGGACUAUCAUCUGGAAUUCUGAGCUAAAAUAAACUCCGUUGAUUUUUGUAAGGGUUUUUUCUUUCAUUCAAUAUGUUUGAAAUCUUUCUUAAAACUCAGUUGUUCAUAACUGUACAUUUAUGUAUGGGUCUUCCAAGUUAAGUUGCUCUGCAUGUCUAUUUCCGUGGAUGUACUGUUACCCAAUCAGUAGAGUUCUUGCAUAUAAAUUAAAGCCUAAUAAAGUCUAAGAUUAGGACAUUUCUAAUAGUAAUCUUUCGGCUACAAACUACCUUAGAUAUAUGAUGACGUUGAUGUUUCUAUAUGAAUUUUUUUAAAGCUUUUUUAAUGUUCUGGGAGAAUGUGAUUGGAAUUCUGAAAGGGGUUGCAUUGAACCUAUGCAUUGCUUUUGGUAAUAAAGGAUUUUAAAAAUAAAAUUAAUUCAGCAAUACAGGAACAAAUCAAACAGUUGCUCCUCAUUUCAGUGAUAUUUGUAAAAUACCGUGUGUGCCUGUGUGCAUGUGUGUGUGUGUGUGUAUUAAGGAUACAUUAUGAAUAUCACAAAAGAUGAAGAAAAAAACAAAUGUUAAUGUUCUUUCAUGAUGAAAUUCUUGGACACUUAGAAACAGAUGUAACAUAUAUGAUAAUUCCUAAAUAUGACAAGCCUAUAUGACCUCUAAAACUAUAUUACAUGUGGAAAUACCAAGAGUAUUUCUUCUAAAAUCUUUUGUUGUUGUUGUUGUUGUUGUUUUAGGUUUUUUUUUGUUUUUUUGAGAUGGGGUUUCUCUGUGUAGCCCUGGCUGUGCUGGAACAAACUCUAUAGACCAGACUGGCCUCAAACUCAGAAAUCUGCUUGCCUCUGCCUCCCAAGUGCUGGGAUUAAAGGCAUGAGCCACCACGCCUGGCUCUUCUAAAAUCUUGAAUGAGAUAAGACUGCCAACUCCAAUAGUAUUCAAUAUAGUGCUGGAAGUCUUAGCAGCAUAUGUAAGAGGAAAGAAGGAAUAUAAAAUACCUAGAAAUUAAUCUAAAUUCUCACAGUGAAACUUUUAAGACCCAUGAAAAAGAAAUUUUUAAAACAUCUUAAAAUUAUUUGCUUCCUUACAAAAUCCUUUUCUCACUAAUUUUUGUGAGGAAAAGAACAUGUGUCUGUCACAGCACUGAGUGCGAAGCUCAGAGACACUGAUCUAAUUGAGCAGGGGGUUCCGCAUCCUCUCUUCAGAUUAGAAAGCACCAACUUAAGGCACAGUAUCUGAGCUACGUAUGCUGGCUGCUUGAUAAGAUAUUAAGUCUAACACAUGGCCCUAGCGUUAUGGAGGCUUCACUUUUCUAAAGUGAUGAGGCAAAAAAUCAAUUGCAGCAGCCAGGGCAACUCUCUCUAAUAACUCUCCUGGAAGCAUCCCCUUGAUCCCUUUCCUUCCAUCGUUUCCCUUUACCAGAUACAGUUUUUAAGGAUAAACUGCUGUAGAUGUACAAUAUGAAAUGAUAGCAUAAUUCAAUAGUUACUGU